rnacentral:lncRNA from 1 species
UCCCGAAGCCAUCAUUUUGGGAGCUGAGGUAGGUCGUGGUGCUGAUUUGCUUUCUCCCUCAGUGCCUGACUUUGGGCUUCUCAUGUGCCUGGAGUGCUUUCUUUUUAGGAUUGCAGACGUCCUAAAAGCAGAGGGGCAGCUUGGGAGGUCAAAUAGCUAAUCUCUGACUCUCCAUUUGCCCUCCGAAGUGCUCUUCUGAGAAGCGGAACAAGCCCUUCUCCUCCCUGCUGCCUGGGCUCACUGAGAGGGAGCUGGUCUCAGCACAAAGCAUCAGCAAAGUGAGCAGGGCCAGGGCCAGUAGAGCUGGGCGCCCACUGAGUGCACCACACAUGAAGCCAAGAGAGGAAGAGCCAUCUCUUCCAGGACAACUAAGGAUGGAUUUGCCUUUUUGAAAAUUUGAGAUUGGACUUGCCCUUUGGUAGAGCUAACCACUGCUACCAGUUUCUACAGUAUCUUUCCAGAGAUACUACAGGUGAAAGUGUCUAUUUAUCUAUGUCCUGCAUAAAUGCAAGCAUAUAGGCAUCUUCUGCACCUUGCUGUUUAAAAAACACUUUUUAAAACACUACCCACUUAAAAUACUUUAAUAGAUCCUGGUUCUCUGCAAAAUAAAGCCCAAACUUUUUCUGGUAUGAAACAUCCUUUAUAACUCCCCAAAUGAGUAUCUCCUUCCAGUUCAGUGACCCCCCUCCUUCCUUCCAGCUUCUUCCUCUCCCUCCCACCCCACCCCAGGUUUCAACAGCAUAGAGCUCCAGGCCUGGGAGCCUCACUCCUGUUGGUCCUUUUGUCUGGAGACUCUUGCUUUUUCUUCUGUACCAUACUGUUUUGGUGACUAUAGCCUUAUAAUAUAAUUUGAAAUCAGGCAAUGUGAUGCCUCUAGAUAUGUUCUUUUUGCUUAGUCUUUUUUUUGGCUAUGUGGGCUCUUUUUUGGUUCCAUAUGAAUUUUAGGAUUGUUUUUCUAGUUCUGUGAAGAAUGAUUGUGGUAUUUUGAUGGGAAUUGCAUUGAAUUUGUAGAUUGAUUUUGGCAGUAUGGUCAUUUUC